ACUCUGUAGUUUCACUGCUCAAAUGUCUGCCAUUUAGGUGUUUAAUCACUUUGUUUAUGUAGCCCUUGUCACACCUCCCUGCAUGUGACUUACACAGCCUUCCUAAACACUUCCUGUAAAGUGAGAUCUAAUGUUUAAACGUCCUUUAUUGCAAGUUCUGUUUGAUUUAAAAUGUCUUAUUUCCUGCCAUGUUAAGAGCUUGCUAGACCCUGCAGGAGCCUCCUGUAUGUGAUUAAACUUACUUUAAAGUAGGUUACAUCUGAUUGAAAAUUAAACCAUUUUGUUCAUGCAGUCUGUGUAAGUCACAGCCAGGGGAGGUGUGACUAGGGCUGGGAAAAACGGCAGAGACUUGAGCAGUGAGACUGCAGGGCAUGAUCUUUACACCAUAACUACUUCAUUAAGCUAAAGUUGUUUUGGUGCCUAUAGUGUCCCUUUAAUUAGAGCAGUGGAAGUGUGAAUUAGAAACCUGACAUUUAUUGCAGUUUAACACUGAUUAAAGGGAUGCUGUAAAACUGCAGUAUCGGCUGACUGUCUAACCCUCACAGCGGAGGUAGUUUACACAGUGAUGGGAGUCAGUGACAAAUCCUUUCCCUGUGACGUUUAACAUCUCAGCCAGCAAGAGCUUCUCUUUCCCAGCUGAUACUCAUGCCAUAACGGUAUCACUUGGACAGAAGUUGGUAUAUUUGUCACCUUAAGAGGAGUGUGGAUUGGGGUAGCUAUAAAACAUUUACAAAAUGCAACAAAAAGACAGCAUUUUGCAGCAGUAAAGUAGUUUGUAAUAUUGCUAAACUACACAGAGGGGUGUAUUCACCGGGCAAGGAGACAGUGAGA